rnacentral:RNase_P_RNA from 1 species
ACCGGUUGGCGGGCUCCCGCUGUCGUUCUUCGGGACGGUAGAGGAAAGUCCGGACACCAUAGGGCGGGAUUCCUUGUGAAAGCAGGGGCACGCAGGCUGCGAAGCCGGCGUGACGGACAGUGCCACAGAAAAUAUACCGCCUCGAUUCGUCGAGGUAAGGGUGAAAUGGUGAGGUAAGAGCUCACCGCCCGGAAGGUAACUGACGGGGCACGGUAAACCCAAUCUGGUGCAAGACUGAAUAGGGGAUCGGGCGGCCCGUCCGAUGAUCCCGGGUUAGUCGCACCUCCGACUUGUCGGGGGAUUCCGCUUCGGCGGGAUAGAUAAAUGGGAGCCACUUUCCCCGACUUGUCGGGGAGGGGACAGAAUCCGGCUUACCGCCAACCGGUCCUU